rnacentral:rRNA from 1 species
GAUUUAAAGGAAAUUAUUAAUUUUAAUUUUUAAUUUGAAAUUAAUUAAAUAAAUUUUGAGUUUUAUUAUUUAAUUGAAAAGAUAUUUAUUUAUAAUAGUUUAUUUGGUAUUGUGAAAGAAUUUUAAUUAAAUUUAUAAAGGAGAAGGAUUUUUGUACCUUGUGUAUCAGGGUUUAUUAAGUAAGAUUAAUAUUUAUUUAGGAUCUCGAAUUUUAAAGAGUUAAUUUUGUAUAAAUUUUAUUGUAAAAUAAAUAUUUAGAAUAUGAAUUUGGAAGUAAAAUGUUAUUCGGUUUUUAAUAUAUCUAGUUUUUAAAGAAAGAAUUUUAAUUUUUUGAUAAUAAAUAUAUUUUUUUAUAAUAAAAGGAAUGUUAGUUGUUUAAAAUAUAUUUGGGGAUGAGCUUAAAUAUAGAGGGUUAUAAUUUUGUUAAGUUAAAUUUAGUUAAGGAUUAGAAGUAUUCAUUAUUAAUAAAGUUUUAUAGUUAAUUAAUUGAUAAUUUAAUAUUUUUAUUUAAUUUAAUUGUUUUAUUUAAAGUGAAAGUUUAAUUAUUAAGUUUAAGUUAUUAUGAUAAAAUUAGUAUAAAUUUAAUAUUUGAUUAAUUUAAGGAAUUCGGCAAUUUUAUUUUUCACCUGUUUAUUAAAAACAUGUUUUUUUGUAAUAAUUUUAGAUUAUCCCUGCCCACUGAAUCUUUUAAAUGGCCGCGGUAUUUUGACCGUGCUAAGGUAGCAUAAUCAUUAGUUUUUUAAUUGAAAGCUGGAAUGAAGGGGAUGAUGAAAAAAUAGCUGUCUCUAAUUUAUUUUUUAGAAUUUUAUUUUUAAGUAAGAAAGCUUAAAUUUUAUUAAUAGACGAUAAGACCCUAUAGAGUUUUAUAGGUUUAAUUUAAUGAUUUAUUGGUAUUUAUAUAAUUAUUAUUUUAUAUUUAUUUAAUUGGGGUGAUUGGAAAAUUAAUUGAACUUUUCUUUUUUUUAACAUUAAUUAAUGAAUAGAUGAUCCUUUUUUUGUGAUUAAAAGAUUAAAUUACCUUAGGGAUAACAGCGUAAUUUUUUUUAAGAGUUCAAAUCGAAAAAAGAUUUUGCGACCUCGAUGUUGGAUUAAAAUUAAAUUUUGAAGUAGAUGUUAAAAAUUUGGGUCUGUUCGACCUUUAAAAUUUUACAUGAUCUGAGUUUAAACCGGUGUGAGCCAGGUUGGUUUCUAUCUUUUAUAAAAGUUGAUAUUUUAGUACGAAAGGAUUAAAUAUGAAAUUUAUAAUUUAA